rnacentral:lncRNA from 1 species
CCUAAAGUGGUCUCUUGUGGAAGCCUUGUGUUCCCAUAGGGAUGAAUAUAAUUAACAUAUGCUAUGGGCCCUGGUCUAAAGUAGUGUUCUAUAUAUAGGGAAUAGGGCCCUGGUCUAUAUAGGGAAUAGGGCCCUGGUCUAUAUAGGGGAUAGGGCCCUGGUCUAUAGGGAAUAGGGCCCUGGUCUAAAGUAGUGUUCUAUAUAUAGGGAAUAGGGCCCUGGUCUAUAUAGGGAAUAGGGCCCUGGUCUAAAGUAGUGUCCUCUAUAUAGGGAAUAGGGCCCUGGUCUAUAUAGGGAAUAGGGCUCUGGUCUAUAUAGGGGAUAGGGCCCUGGUCUAAAGUAGUGUCCUCUAUAUAGGGAAUAGGGCCCUGGUCUAUAUAGGGAAUAGGGCCCUGGUCUAAAGUAGUGUUCUAUAUAUAGGGAAUAGGGCCCUGGUCUAUAUAGGGAAUAGGGCCCUGGUCUAUAUAGGGAAUAGGGCCCUGGUCUAAAGUAGUGUUCUAUAUAUAGGGAAUAGGGCCCUGGUCUAUAUAGGGAAUAGGGCCCUGGUCUAAAGUAGGCCCUGGUCUAUAGGGAAUAGGGCCCUGGUCUAAAGUAGUGUCCUCUAUAUAGGGAAUAGGGCCCUGGUCUAUAUAGGGAAUAGGGCCCUGGUCUAUAU